rnacentral:lncRNA from 1 species
UUGGGAGAUUCAAAUCCAAGAAUCAUUCAUGCAUUCUAAGGCAAUAGUUACUGGGUCCUAUUUUCUGAAAGUUGAAUUUUGUAUUUUGCGAAUGAAAAUCCACAUUUGAUUUUUCAAUAGAAAGGUAAGAGAAAGUUUUGAACAUUAUGAAUUUGGAGAUAGACUCAAUCGAAAUUGAAAGGAUGAAUCAAACCCAAUCAAAAGGGAAGAAGGAUUAGGAUUUCUUUGACUUUUAGGAAAAAUUAAGGAAAACAGAACUCAAGGUGCAAGUACAAUAAAAAAGCAGUUCAGUAAUCCGGGAAAGUUUUCAUCUAUUUUGUAUUUGUAGCAUUUUGGCGACAUGGCCGAGUGGUAAGGCAGAGGACUGCAAAUCCUUUUUUCCCCAGUUCAAAUCCGGGUGUCGCCUGAUCAACAAAAAACUGGAAAUCUCUUUUUUUCUUCUGUUGAUAUAACCCGCCGAAUGAUUCGCCAGCAGAAGCAGAGAAAGCAGACUGUUGAUACUUGUUUUGGUCUGGGUGUUUUUAGAAAAAAUUGUAAAUAUCCUUGCAUUGCAUAUUUAGGCUUAGCUUUCAAGUAAAUAUUCGAAUGCUCGAGGGGCUAUCAAGACUUCGCAAUUACCUUCUACUACAAAUCAAAAUUUUCUAUUAUUAAUCCAUUGUAUAAUGACUGGACCUUGGAGAGCCCGAUAGGAAAUCGAAAUAGUUGUGGAAGGGGGCGGAAGAUACUUUAUUAUAUACGAGGAACUCACGAAAAUAUCUCAGUGCUCAAGCAUCCAAUCAAUUCAAAUGAGGGUCAACAAAAAAAGAAUAGGACCUAUUAUUCCUACAUGUUCCAUUAGUAACAUUCCCUUGAGAUGUUACUGCGGAUUUUGCUUGGGUUUAAUCUUUCCCGAUUAUAAAUCAUAUAGAAAUUUCUUAUAAAAUGAGCGAAUUUAUUGGAUUGGUUUAUUAAUAGUCUUCGUUCUUUUUGACUCUGCGCCAUUGAUUCUACUAUUAUUAGUGAGGAAUAAUGGAACAAUUCCUUUAUAUUUAUAGAGAUAGGGGACAUAAUUCAUAUGGAUAUAGUAAGUCUUGCUUGGGCUGCUUUAAUGGUAGUCUUUACUUUUUCCCUUUCACUCGUAGUGUGGGGAAGGAGUGGACUCUAGGGGUUCUGCUAAUUGAGUUAAGGAAGCAAACUGUAUCAUUAUCAAUUGCUUUCUAGAUGGUUCUGCAACACGUUUGGAACAAAAUAAAAAUAUCUUCAUUUUGAAAUUCCAUUGGACUCGACUGGAGUAAUGUAUUAUAGGAAUCAGCCUCUUUCAAUCAAAGAGCUAUUUCAACGAUUCCCAUGUUUGUAGUUCGAAAGGAAAAGGAUCCCAGGAAAUUUAUUCGAACCUAAUUCUUACUAAAUUUUCUAUUCCAAUCAAUGGCCUCUUCCUAGGUGAUACUGAGGAGGGCCGGACCCGUUUUUUAUUUGGUUCUCUCUUUACUGUUCAAAGAAAAAGUGGUUUUGUUAAGUGUAUACGCACUUUGUAUGAGAAAGAAAGGAUAUAAACAUAGUGGUUGUCUAACGAGAUACUAUUUAGAAUAAGAUCGUCAGGUGAGUCACAUAUUGCGCAUUUACCUUUCGAAUUUUGGAAAUUGGAUUUAGACUUUAUCGACUUAUUUCAUAUCAUGGUUCAGGCCUUAAAAAUCAGUGAGGUUUACUCUUCCUUUUCGAUGCCCGUGGAACUACUGUCAAUGGUUUACUUCUUAGGAAUGUUAAAAAAAAAAAAGAUUACUACGUGAUUUUUUGAAUAUGCCUAUAUCUAUCGCUUUUGCUUCAUUGAUUUGAUUCUCUCAAUAGAUACUGAGAUUCAUAUUGGAAAUCAAAAAUAUAGUAAUUCAAACUAUAAGACAUAGGAGUAAUUCAGAUUGAUCAGAACAAAUAGAUAUAGCAAAUAAAUGGAAUUGGAUGCUAUGUCAAUCCCAUAUAUGGAAUUGAUAUUCACAUAUAUCAAGAUAAUAUUGUAGAUUGAUAUAUAGAUCCAUAUCAAAUGCAGCCUCUAUCUUUAUUUUAUUCCAGGGGGCAGCUUUAUAACAAGAAUCUAACUAAUAAAUAGUAUGGUAGAAAGAAAUAGAUGAAUCUUUCUACCAUACUAUCUAUCUAUUAGAAUACUGCCGAUUCUAGUCCACUCAUUUCAUUUAAGACAUGAAAUUGGAAUCUUUUUCAUUUUAUUUCGUCAAUUUUGGCUAAGAACUCAGAAGUCAAGUUUCAUUCAAAUUAGUUAAUAAUUAAUCGUUUUGACUGACUGUUUUUACAUAAAUGAUAAGUAGAAAAGCGGUAGGAACUAGAAUAAAUAGUGCAGUAGCAAUAAAUGCAAGAAUAUUUACUUCCAUAAUCUCAUCGGUUUUUUACUUCGCAAUAACUCGGGAUUUAAUCCCAUAGAGAUGAUAAAUCUUUGGCCUGUAAAUUCAAUGAAUGAAUAUUACCUCUCGAUGAUCUUGAAUCAGAUCAAUAUCAUGAAUAACAAUAUCUGAACUAUCAAAUAAAUUCGUCGUCGAGAAUUGAAUAGUAUAACAUAGGAAGUUCUUUUAUCCAUACCGCCCCAAACUCGGAUUGCUGACCUAACCCAAAAUUCCUUUAUUUAUUUAUCAUUUUUUAUUAUCUGUUCUUUUUUUCUCUCUAAUCUAUCUAGUUCCUUCUUGUACAAUCAUCUGAUGAAGUCUCAUCAAAUAGCUCUUCCACUUCCAGUGGUCACAUAGUUACAAACCCAAACAAACAAUAAAAGCUAAAUGGAAAAAGAAAGGAGUUUAGAACGAAACUAUUUUUGACUUGGAAGACAAAGAAGUGUGAUAAAGAUGAGACCGUAUAAAAUGAAUAUUCAUCAAAUUGACUAUUUUCCGAUUUGUUCGUUCGUCGAUGGGGCCUUAAAACAAAAUGAAAAAUAGGAAAAAUGAUUCAUUCGCCUUUCUAAGAGGAGUAGGAUCUUUGGUUGAUCUGUCCUUCCCCCUCCUUUCUUCGUCGAUUAUUAGCCCCGGGACACCUAUACCAAAAGCUCAGUGUGCAAUUUGCAUGAAAUCUAUUUUGCAACUUCAAACUAGUAAGUCAGGUUCCAUAAAUCCGUAGCCAGAAAAAGAAAUUGUUUUUUUUUUUUUUUGUUUUUUCUGGAAAGUAUUUUCUUAUAUUCAAUUUUGUAUUGGACAACAAAGGAAUUCCUUUUGUGUAUGCGCGCCUCAAAAAAGUAUAGUACUCGAUUCCAUUACAUGCAUCGGGGGCAAUCGAAAAAGCCAGCAUUUCUUGGAAUACUGACUAUAAUGCUACCAAUAAUUGUACUAAUCCAACCGCAUAUGUCUUUCUCCUACCAAAAGGAAAGAAAAAAGAAAUAAGGAUUUCCCCUUUGCUUUGACAAUGGAAUUCUUCCCCCGGUCCCCUUCAGAAAAAGGGAGAGAUUUUUUGAUAUAUUUAUUGGAUCCGUCGGGACUGACGGGGCUCGAACCCGCAGCUUCCGCCUUGACAGGGCGGUGCUCUGACCAAUUGAACUACAAUCCCAGGGAAAUACGGGAUCUAGCAGAAAAUUUGAUUCUUUUUUAUCUCCGGAUCGGGUAUUUCUGAAGUACAAAGGGAGUUAUAUCAUCUCAUGGCGGAUUGGCGAAUUAUUGGGCCGAGCUGGAUUUGAACCAGCGUAGACAUAUUGCCAACGAAUUUACAGUCCGUCCCCAUUAACCGCUCGGGCAUCGACCCAGGAAGAAUCAAUUUUCAACUUAUUGGUAAUCCAUGAUCAAUUUCCUUUCGUAGUACCCUACCCCCAGGGGAAUUCGAAUCCCCGCUGCCUCCUUGAAAGAGAGAUGUCCUAAACCACUAGACGAUGGGGGCCCGCUUGACCAACGGCCAUCAUACUAUGAUGAUAGUAUGAUCCGUUUUUUAAAAUUGUCAAUAUAAUCAAAUGAUUCUAGCCGAGGGAUCUUUCCCCCCUUCAGAAUUGCAUAGAAUUGUUUUUUAUUCGUCAUUGACGAAUUAUUCAUUAGAAUCGACAUUAGAAAUCUAGUAGUAGUAUUUUUUUUUAAUUAUUUCAAUUGAAUUUAUUUCUAUUCGAGUCGGUCUUGAAACAAUUCAUUGCAUUUUCUCCUAUACUUCCUAGGUAAAUCCAUUUUAUUAUUCAACAAUGAGCCACUAGACACUAUGUAUCUACUGCACGUACUUAAUGCAUAUAUACUUAUGUUUAUAAUAUAAGUACAUAUAGAUAUUUUAUCCACAUAGUGAAUAAUUCCGGAAUUAAAUAAAAAAGGCCCUUUUAACUCAGUGGUAGAGUAACGCCAUGGUAAGGCGUAAGUCAUCGGUUCAAAUCCGAUAAGGGGCUUUGUAAAACCCCAAUCUAGUAUUCAUAUUUGAUGGGAGAAUUUUCUUUUUAUUUGUAAUAAAAAAAGUAACUAACUGGAUAAUACAUUAUCAUUAUACUUAGUUAUAAAGUUGAACAUUUGUUUAGUCAAUUUUCAUUAGUAUGAAUUUAGGAAUAAUGAAAAGUCACUUCUUGAAUCACCGAAUAUUCCUAUUUUCCAUUAUACCAACCAAAUCGAUUCGAAAGGUUAGAAAUCAACAAAAGAAAAAGUAAAAAGUAAGUGGACCUGACCUAUUGAAUCAUGACUAUAUCCGCUAUUCUGAUAUUAAAAUUCGAUAGAGAUGAAAUUGGAGCAGUUGAUUUUUUUUAUUUCAUUUUUUUGUUUUGGACUCCACAAGAAUUUGUCGAUAUUUCCGAUUAAAUCUUCUUGUUACUAGAUUUUCUAUAGGAAAAAUUAUCGGAAUAAUUUGUUAUUCCUUUCCUCUACAGAGAAACCUUUCUUCCAAGGCACACCAUAAGAGCCAUUUAUUAUUUUUCUUUGAUUCUAGAUCAAAGAUUAAUUUCAUCUAUAUUAUAUAUUAAUUAUAUUAAGUAGAUUGUAGAUUGAUUUCGAUGUAUAUCUAUCAGAUCAUGGCUUCAUGUACCAAAUAUUUCAAUAUCGUUGCAUCCGGUAUUUUUGUUUUGUUCCACCAGUGUGAUGAAG